GGCCCGCCUUGGGUGUCUUGCUGAGGUAGAACAGGUAGGACAUGUGGUUGGCGUCGGCGAGCGUGAACUCGUCGCCGGCGAGGUACUUGUUCUUCGCAAGGUGGUCCUCGUAGAUGUCGAGCACCUUGGCGAGCUGGUGCGCGUGCUUGUCCACCACCAGCGGGUCGGGGGCGCCGCCCAUCAUGGGCUUGACGAGGAGGUGGUACACCAGCGGGGAGGCGUUGGGGUAGAAGUGGUGCGACUCCACCUCCAGCCACACCUCCAGCUUCGCCGACGGGAUGGUCGGGAGGAGGUCGGCGCCGUCCGACUUGUACUUGGUCGCGAUGUACCGGUUGAUCGCACGGGACUCUGCAUGCGAUGUGUUCUCAGAACUUCAGAUUCGGAAAUUUGGUGACUCAUCAUAAGGCUGACACGCGCGAGCAUCAACGCCAACAGAGGUUGGAACAGAUGGACAGCAGCAGUAGAAUUCAGUCUCGUUUUGAUCAAAUCAAUUCUACGAGUGGAAACGUGAUAGGUUGUUUGAGCUGUUAUGCAGCUUAGCACCUACUCCACGGGAGGAAAACGACAUUGAUGUGUACAGCCUGGAGAUAUUUUUGCUUUCUGAUGAAUGAAAUCCAAGCGGGUCAACCAUCUUUUUUUUUUAAAAAAAAAGGAACGACCAAGGUAUAACGAAGAUACUGUUCCUAGAUCUGGGGAUGGAUCUAGUGCUUCAUUUUUUAAAAUGACCGAGUAGUUCCUAAUAUAAUCAACUACUAUACGCACGGGAAGAACGAGCAGUGAUGUCAGUUACGUACCGUA
rnacentral:lncRNA from 1 species